UACGAAGGGGGCUAGCGUUGUCCGGAAUCACUGGGCGUAAAGGGCGCGUAGGCGGCUGGGGAAGUCGGCGGUGAAAGCCCGGAGCUCAACUCCGGGUCGGCCGUCGAGACUCCUCGGCUCGAGCUCACUAGAGGCAGAUGGAAUUCCGAGUGUAGAGGUGAAAUUCGUAGAUAUUCGGAAGAACACCAGUGGCGAAGGCGACUUACUGGACACAUAUUGACGCUGAGGUGCGAAAGCGUGGGGAGCAAACAGG
rnacentral:rRNA from 1 species